CCCCUCUCAGGGUCACACCUGGAACGUUUCUAGUACUUUACUAGUCUUGACUACAGGAGGGAGAGUCAAGCAGAGGCCUGUCCAUUCCAUUCCUAGUUUGGCCAGUGGCUAGUGAGUGGAAGGUAAAUCUGUUACAAGU
rfam:Ornithorhynchus anatinus chromosome 1, whole genome shotgun sequence.